GACGUAGGGGGCCAGCGUUGCUCGGAAUUACUGGGCGUAAAGGGUUCGUAGGCGGUGCGGCAAGUCGGGAGUGAAAUCUCUGGGCUUAACUCAGGGGCUGCUUCCGAAACUGCCGUGCUUGAGUGCGGGAGAGGCGAGUGGAAUUGCAGGUGUAGCGGUGAAAUGCGUAGAUAUCUGCAGGAACACCCGUGGCGAAGGCGGGUCUCUGGGCCGUUACUGACGCUGAGGAGCGAAAGCGUGGGGAGCGAACAGG
rnacentral:rRNA from 1 species